GUUCAGCAUGGCACAGUGGUUUGAGUGUUGGGCUACAACUCUGGAGACCAUGGUUUAAAUCCCAGUUUGGACA